CCUACGGGUGGCAGCAGUGAGGAAUAUUGGUCAAUGGACGAGAGUCUGAACCAGCCAAGUAGCGUGAAGGAUGACUGUCCUGUGGAUUGUAAACUUCUUUUAUAUGGGAAUAAAAGGUUGCACGUGUGGGCGUUUGUAUGUACCAGAAGAAUAAGAAUCGGCUAACUCCGUGCCAGCAGCCGCGGUAAUACGGAGGAUCCGAGCGUUAUCCGGAUUUAUUGGGUUUAAAGGGGGCGUAGGUGGAUUGUUAAGUCAGUUGUGAAAGUCUGCGGCUCAACCGUAAAAUUGCAGUUGAAACUGGCAGUCUUGAGUACAGUAGAGGUGGGCGGAAUGCGUGGUGUAGCGGUGAAAUGCUUAGAUAUCACGAAGAACUCCGAUUGCGAAGGCAGUUCACUGGA
rnacentral:rRNA from 1 species